UCGUGAGAUUUUAGCCAAUACUGAGGGUGAAUAAAACAGGAAUUCGUCAAGUCGCGACGUACGAAGUGUACAUGCAGUGUCAUGGCGUGACGAGUGGGGACCUUCGUGGCCAUGUUUUGGCAUGAUUUCGGAGAUUCAGAUGGAAAUCUCAAAGACCUAUUGGUUGUCUCUCGGACGCUGUGGAGGAGGUUGGCCUACAUUUCUUCUUUUGCGGAGUGUACGGCAUUCCACCAUGACACGCAGAUGACGUACCCUGCCAUGACAAAGGAUACCUUCAGAAAAUUUGACAACUUUCAUCGGUUUUGAAGAGUUUCUUCCUAUUUCUGGAUUGAAGAUGGCAACGACAUGCAUGGCCGCGUAUAAUGGACGAGCUUUGGAUUCCUCCACAUCUGAUCUGUACUACCCACCCAUUGCGAUUGAACUCCGUAUCAGUUCCUGACCAUGCCAUGACAUGUCCAUGUUCAUUCAAACAGCCCAACCCCCACUCUGAACCUUUCUAAAUAGUCCAUGGUGUGGAGUACAUGUACAUGUAUGUUUAGUGUGAUCUGAAUUGGGAGUGGUAGGUGUAGUCUGUUCGCUGCCUCCCUGUCCCAGAUGCUUGAAUAACAUAGUUGACGUAAACAUUUCAUAUAUAAAUGAAUAUCUUACUGCCGGGGGGGG